GACGAACGCUGGCGGCGUGCUUAACACAUGCAAGUCGAACGGAAAGGCCCUGCUUUUGUGGGGUGCUCGAGUGGCGAACGGGUGAGUAACACGUGAGUAACCUGCCCUUGACUUUGGGAUAACUUCAGGAAACUGGGGUUAAUACCGGAUAGGAGCUCCUGCUGCAUGGUGGGGGUUGGAAAGUUUCGGCGGUUGGGGAUGGACUCGCGGCUUAUCAGCUUGUUGGUGGGGUAGUGGCUUACCAAGGCUUUGACGGGUAGCCGGCCUGAGAGGGUGACCGGACAGCGGGGGACAGAGAUAGAGCCCGGAAGCGAACGGGAGGCAGCAGCGGGGAGGAGUGGACGAGGGGCGGCAGGUUGAAGCAGGAUAGCGGGGGGAGGGAGGACGGAGUGAGGGUAGUAGACAGAGUAGGACCGUGACGAAGCGUGAGUGAAGGUAAUGGAUAAAGAAGCAACGGCUAACUAAGU
rnacentral:rRNA from 1 species